UACGUAGGGGGGCAAGCGUUGUCCGGAUUUAUUGGGCGUAAAGAGCGUGUAGGCGGUUCGGUAGGUCCGUUGUGAAAACUCGAGCUCAACCUCGAGACGCCGAUGGAAACCCUCGAACUAGAGUCCGGAAGAGGAGAAUGGAAUUCCUGGUGUAGCGGUGAAAUGCGCAGAUAUCAGGAGGAACACCGGUGGCGAAGGCGGGUCUCUGGGCAGUAACUGACGCUGAGGAGCGAAAGCGUGGGGAGCGAACAGG
rnacentral:rRNA from 1 species